rnacentral:lncRNA from 1 species
AGGGUCUCCUUGAACCUCUGCCUCACAAGUGGGAAGAGCAGAGGCUGGACAGGGACUCUGAAACAGGCAGACACCCCUUCAGCCUCUAGAUUAGAACAUCUGCAUUCAAAGAUUCCUGUACCACUUGUGCCAUGCAACCAAGACUCAUCUAAGCCUCAAAAACAAAGACUUUGAGCUUCUGGAAGGUAAUCUCGUCCUGCUGCUACAGAUAAACACAGACCAUUCUGGGGGAAGAGGAAAUCUACAGUGUGAGUAUGGCUUUGUUUGCUUCACUUUAAU